rnacentral:rRNA from 1 species
UACGGGGGGGGCAAGCGUUGUUCGGAAUUACUGGGCGUAAAGGGCUCGUAGGCGGCCAACUAAGUCAGACGUGAAAUCCCUCGGCUUAACCGGGGAACUGCAUCUGAUACUGGAUGGCUUGAGAUUGGGAGAGGGAUGCGGAAUUCCAGGUGUAGCGGUGAAAUGCGUAGAUAUCUGGAGGAACACCGGUGGCGAAGGCGGCAUCCUGGACCGACACUGACGCUGAGGCGCGAAGGCGUGGGGAGCGAACGGG